CAUAGUUUAAGGUGAUAAGUUAUUGUUUGAAGAUGAAUUUUUAUUUUUAUUGUAGAAGUAUAUGAGAUAGAAGAUAGCGGUGUAUGGUGUUUUUAUAUUAAUUGUUUGAGAGUAUGGGGCCUAACUAUUGUAGCGGGAAGACUGAACAGAGAUGCAUAAAAAUAAUUGAGGGAUCUGAAAAGGAAAGUGUAAAAUAUAAUUUAGGAGAAAGAGUUUUCAUAUGUUCUUUGAUUCUUUGUCGACUAUUGAUUAUAAUUUAUUAAUUUGUCAAGUUCGAGAAUCAUUUUUAAGUAUUCAAUUACUUUUACUUUUGUAGCACUUCUCUUUGGAGGGAGCUGCUCUCUUGUUUUUGCUGAAGAAGUUUCAAAUGGAAAAGCCUCUAAAACUAAUGCAGGAGAGUCAGCUAAUGUUGGAUUACAAAGACUUGAGGAUGGUUCAGUUAUAUCAAACGAACAUACGUCUAAGUGGCGAAUAUUCACAGAUAAUGGGAGAGAAUAUUUUCUGCAAGGGAGAAUGAUUGAAGCUGAGAAGUUAUUUUCAUCUGCCUUGGAAGAAGCUAAAAAAGGUUUUGGUGAGCGGGAUCCACAUGUUGCAUCUGCAUGUAACAAUCUGGCAGAGCUGUACAGGGUCCAGAAAUCAUAUGAUAAAGCAGAGCCCUUGUAUAUAGAUUCUAUUAGUAUACUUGAGGAAGCAUUUGGUCCAGAUGAUGUGCGAUUUAUAUAAAGUCAAAAAAUCAACUUGGGGAGGCUGAGAACAUUCAAAGAAAGAUUUUGCACAUCAUGGAGUUGACCAAGGAAUUCUAAAUUUGAUAAUUGCUCAAUAAGGAGUGAUCAACGAAUCACUUUUGCUGGAAAUUCAGAUGGUUUGUAGCUAUCGCAACCUGUCACAGUUGCACCAUUGCGGUAAGCUCAAAGUCUUUUACGGUGUGAUGCUGUGGCUGCAAUUAUUACCCUACUAUAUAAUUGACUUGGUGUGACAAAAAUCAGCAAGGGUUCCAGUGAGAAGCUAGAUUAGUAGAUUAGGGUUUUUUUUAGUUUAGUUUUCUUAAUUCAAGCUAUCUCUGAGAAUUACUAUUCAGAUAUUAUGCAUAUGAGACUUUAAAAUUGUGUCCUAAAGUUUCUAAGCAUUAUUUUUUAUUCAUGUCAUUUUUUUAUAU